AAUAUUUGACAAUGGGCGAAAGCCUGAUCCAGCCAUGCAGUGUGCGUGAAGAAGGUCUUCGGAUUGUAAAGCACUUUAAGUUGGGAGGAAGGGCUUUAGGCGAAUACCCUGAAGUUUCGACGUUACGAACAGAAUAAGCACCGGCUAACUUCGUGCCAGCAGCCGCGGUAAUACGAAGGGUGCAAGCUUUAAUCGGAAUUACUGGGCGUAAAGCGCGCGUAGGUGGUUUGUCAAGUUGGAAGUGAAAGCCCCGGGCUCAACCGGGGGAGUGCUUUCAAAACUGGCAAGCUAGAGUAUGGCAGAGGGUAGUGGAAUUUCCUGUGUAGCGGUGAAAUGCGUAGAUAUAGGAAGGAACAUCAGUGGAGAAGGCGACCACCUGGGCUAAUACUGACACUGAGGUGCGAAAGCGUGGGGAGCAAAC
rnacentral:rRNA from 1 species